AUUGAACGCUGGCGGCAUGCUUUACACAUGCAAGUCGAACGGUAACAGGUCUUCGGAUGCUGACGAGUGGCGAACGGGUGAGUAAUACAUCGGAACGUGCCCGAUCGUGGGGGAUAACGCAGCGAAAGCUGUGCUAAUACCGCAUACGAUCUACGGAUGAAAGCGGGGGAUCGCAAGACCUCGCGCGGACGGAGCGGCCGAUGGCAGAUUAGGUAGUUGGUGGGGUAAAGGCUCACCAAGCCUUCGAUCUGUAGCUGGUCUGAGAGGACGACCAGCCACACUGGGACUGAGACGCGGCCCAGACUCCUACGGGAGGCAGCAGUGGGGAAUUUUGGACAAUGGGCGCAAGCCUGAUCCAGCCAUGCCGCGUGCAGGAUGAAGGCCUUCGGGUUGUAAACUGCUUUUGUACGGAACGAAAAGGUCUGCCUUAAUACGGCGGGCCCAUGACGGUACCGUAAGAAUAAGCACCGGCUAACUACGUG
rnacentral:rRNA from 1 species